rnacentral:ncRNA from 1 species
ACAAAGAUAAAAACGCAAUGCGCAUCUGCAGCGAUGUGCUAGAGCCGGUAGGUAGCCCGGCCGUCCCGUCCAGACUGGGCGGGGUAAGUAACCUGCCCCUCCGGGUUGUCCGUUCUUUGUCCAUA